rnacentral:tRNA from 1 species
GUCAGAAUGGCCGAGUGGUCUAAGUCGCCAGACUCAGAUUCUGGAUCCACGUAUGUGGGCGUGGGUUCGAAUCCCACUUCUGACA